rnacentral:rRNA from 1 species
GUCGGCGUUUUAUUCGCGUGUGAACCACCUCUUCCCUUUCCGAACAGAGAAGUGAAACCGCACGAAUCCGAUGAUACUUAACCUUAGGGUUUGGGAAAGUAGGAUAUGCCGACU